GAUGAACGCUGGCGGCGUGCUUAACACAUGCAAGUCGAGCGAGAAGUUUUGAAAAGAUUCUUCGGAUGAAAUUUAAAAUGGAAAGCGGCGGACGGGUGAGUAACGCGUAGGCAACCUGCCCCAUACAAAGGGAUAGCAUUUGGAAACGAAUAUUAAUACCUUAUGAAACUUAACUAGUGCAUGCUAGGUAGGUCAAAGAUUUAUCGGUAUGGGAUGGGCCUGCGUCUGAUUAGCUAGUUGGUGAGGUAACGGCUCACCAAGGCGACGAUCAGUAGCCGACCUGAGAGGGUGAACGGCCACAUUGGAACUGAGACACGGUCCAAACUCCUACGGGAGGCAGCAGUGGGGAAUAUUGCACAAUGGGGGAAACCCUGAUGCAGCAACGCCGCGUGAACGAUGAAGGCCUUUGGGUCGUAAAGUUCUGUUCUAGGUGAUGAAAACUGACAGUAACCUAGAAGAAAGCCCCGGCUAACUCCGUG
rnacentral:rRNA from 1 species